GCGCUGCGCGCCGGGCGGGGCCGGCUUAUAUAGUCAGGGACCCUGAAACGUGGGCUUGGGCCGGACGCUGGGUGAGCCGGCCCUCGGCUCGCGCAGCCCGCACUCUCCAGCUGCAACCCCGAGGCCGUGGGACGCCGGAGUCCGGCCUGCCGAGAAGUGACCCGCGCCUCCGGGCCGACCGCGGUGGAGGCGGGACGCCCUCCUGCCUGGGGCCGAGGACGGGCCGCCCAGCCCCCUGGGGGAGUGCACUCUCUGUUCCGGAGCAUGGCAACCCCCAGCUGGGACUUCACUGUAUGAGCAAGUUCACCCGGAACUGCAGUUUAUGAAGUAUUCUAUUCAGUCCAUGGCGGAGACAGUCUGUGUCCAUCUUGAACCGGGCCUGGCCUGGUCUGUUCAGCCUGCAGGAGUGCCCAGGGCAGCCUCGUGGGGAAGUGGGCGGCCUGUUCUCCUGGCACUGGUGCUUCCAACCCCACGUAGAAGGAUGUGACAACUCCAAGAGGGAAUUCAAAAAAGAUGAAAGCAGUCUGCAAAUUUAAAACCAGAACCUGAAACAGCCAACUCAAAUCCCUCACCACAAUUUAAAACCCCUGGGUGAAGUGGAAGAAUGAAGUGGUGGUUAUUAGCUACAAAGCACCACCAUCAACAUGCCCCAUACGGAGAGAUGUCAGUGGAGCAGCAGAAGUAACAACCUGCCACCAAGGACUCCAAAGGUUGCAGAAAGCCCCUGGGAGAAGGUUUAUCAGAAGUGGCCCUUAAAGGUCUGAGCCUGCCUGCCAAGCUGCCUUAGCCUUUUUUCUGCUGCAGGGGAGACCAGCUGUGGGUGCCUUGGAGGGGGUACCUCCUUCCUUCAGUUAUGGGGAGGCUGAAAGAUACCAUUCAAUUAAAAAAUCUUCUCUUCCGGAGGAAAUAAAUACUGCAAGAUACCUAUCUUUUGAAACAUGGGAAAUAAACCAAAAGUUUGAUAAGCUCAUCAAGCAACUUGGACCUUCAGGAGAGUCAGACCACAGGCUGGGGCUUGGAGUCCACUCUAAACAACUGCCAGUUUUGCAGUCGUAUUGUGUCAGAUCAGCCAUGAAAGACGGAACGCACAGCAUGUUGGACUGUGGGACUCUAUCAGAGCUAUAUCGCUAAGCAGCUGAGUGUGGUGUGUGAUAAGGUUGCCAAGGGAAACGCCUUUUCCCUGCUGGAGCUGGGAGAUCUGGGCUACCCAGAAUCCAGUUGUGAUAGCUGUCCCAGGUAGCCAUUUAUAAUAAAGGGUAUCUGUAAGUAGGCCAUCUAUAAAUAGCAUUUAUAGACCUAUUUAUAGACCUAAAGGCCAAGCAUACCUGGAAUUCCUUCUGCCCUUGCCUCAUUUCUCAGUGCCAGGCUCUAGAGGAAGAGAGGUGGUUCUGAACAUGUUUUAACAGCAAGUUGAAACUCCCUCCCCUUCUGCUUUUACACGCCCAUAUUGCCUUUUGAUUUACUUCCCAAACUCUCCACCAACUAUUUUAGGGUGAUGACCACAACUUACAUUUAAAAGUAACAAUAGCAUGAAAUACAUUCCUCCCCAGUAAUCAGGGAACCUUGAAACCAGAUCCCCCCUGCCCGCCCCCUUCAUUUCUCCCUCAUGCUGUUCCCUGUUCACAUGCUGAGGUUCCCUGCUGGUGCUGCUGUUAUGGUUGACAUCCCUCCUCCCAGCUUGCCUUCCCUCUGCUUCUCUACAGAACUCAGACCUUCUCUAUUUAAGUUCUGACUCAAAUGUUGUGUCCUUUUUGAAGUUCUUUCCUGGUAGUGAUUUUUCUUUUCCCAUUGUAUUUAAUCUCCUUUACAGAUGGUUUUUCUGUCUUGUGUUACUCUUGCACGUGACUUAUUGCCCUUAGUUCUAAGUUCCUUGAUAGUGUUAAUUUAUUCUUGCAUGUCUAGAGCAAUUAACACAGUGCCUUGUUUCUAUAUAUAGUAUUUGUAUUUAACGAACUAAUAAAUGAAGAAUAGAACCUCUUAUAAAACUUGCUUGUAUAAAGCACAAAAGUUGGAAAAUAUCCUGAGCGAAAACUUGAAAGAAAACCAUGGUGCCUGUCAGUUUUCCGUGUUCUUUGUAUGGAAUUGUGCUUCAAACCCAGGAGAACUUCCUAGAGCAUGUGGGCCUUCUCAAAGAAGCCCUACUGCACUCAGUUGGCCUUGCAUUUCACAGUUAUGGUGGACUGAACCUGAGGCCUAGGUGGUAAGAUUAAAGUCAACAGGAUUAAGCGUUCUUCUCCCUGUGCCAAUUUAUGACAUGUAGAACUUCCCUGUGGGCUUCCUUUUUGUGUUGGCACUGGAUGAGAAUGUUCUCUGAAGACUGUUCAGUGCCCAUAAGAGGCAAGGGACCCCUGCUGCAGCCCCAGCUGAGACUGUUCAGGACACCAGGAGUUUGGAAGCUUUGCUUCUUUUAAAUGAUUAUUCUCAGUAGCUUCAGCCUUUCAAGGGAGCUGUGAUCCAUCCCAGCUAAAAAUAGACUCCACAUUCACUCCUUCAGUUCCUGGCUCAAUGAAAUGUCUUUUGCUCUGUCCCCCCAUCUGCAUAGCCUGGCAUCCUGGGGCAGUGCUGCUAGCCAUAAACAGACAACCAAAACACACAGAGGUGCUGGACUCUCUUCCCAGGACCCCCAAGAAGGGACACCAUAUCACCUCCCACACAUUAGAAGGGUUCCUAUCAAAAUGCCAGGAAAUAACAGGGAUAAAGAGGGUGUGGGGAAACUCACAGGGACUGCAAAAGGGUGCAGCAGACAAGGACAGCAGAUGGUGAUGUGGUGCUGUCAGGCCAUGGACUGUACCCCAAAUUCACAAGAGAAGCAUGAACCUCACUGUGACUGUGCCUGGACAGGGGGCCAUAGGAGAUCCUCACCCUACAACAGAAGCGUGAGCCCUCUACCCACUGGGCACCUCUGGUUUGCCUCUCUGUUCUUUCUGUAUCUUUUUAACUGCUUUCAUAACUUAUUUGUUCUACCAGCUGCUUAAGAUUUUUUUAGCUAACUCAUAACUAAUUUUGAGGUGUUUAUGUGAAUGACUAUUAUUCCUCUCAAAUAGCAAUUAAAAUAUACUUUAAUAAAAUAUUUUAAAAUGCCUCCUUCUUCCACAAGGAGAAACUAGUAUUUCUUUUUCUAGAAGCAUUGGAAGAAAUGUCCCCAGCCUCACUCUGAAAUUACACUGGUCUUGAAUGUUUUUGCUUUGUUCUUUUGAUUUCUGAUUUUCCCUGAAGAAAACCGGAUGGCCUAUUUUUGGAUGUUUUGUUUCCAAUAGCAUUUGUGUCCUUAUGAAAACAUGGGCUAUAUCUUUGAAUUGUAAUUUAGACUUGUAAUGAUAUUUGAUUCCAGAUGAUAUCUGAUUGACUUCUAAAACCUCAUUACCUACAAAUCACUAACUUAAUGAAUUUGUACUAAGCAGGAAGAGUUGAGAUCAUUUGGAAUUUUUAUCUUUUUUAAUUUUAUUAAUUCAACUAAUGAGUACAGUUCUGGGUACUUGAUUGAAUAAGAGUGGUGAUGUGUGGUCUGUUCUACAUGGCUGUGUCUCUGAAAUCCUAAGUACCUUGUAGAAAUUUACCAUGGAUCCAAGGACCCAAGAAUCCCAGAGACUUCCCACUAAACAGCUAUUGGGUUUUCAUAUUUAAAUGACAAUCAGUGCAAAAAUCAUUGAAUUGGCACUCCCUGGAACUUGCAGAAAAACAAGUAUUCAGUAUACUGAAAAGCCACUCUGGGAAAUUUAAAUAUGAAAAAUGAACAUUAUUUGCAAAACUAGAGAAUUGCAGACAC